UGAAUACGAGACGCUAAGGCGUCGAAGUAGUGUAUGUCAUACUUCCAAGAAAAGCUUGCACUGUCAUAGAUAAAAAACGCCUGUACCAUAACCGACACAGGUGGGUAGGUAGAGUAUACUAAGGGGCGCGAGAUAACUCUCUCUAAGGAACUCGGCAAAAUAACUCCGUAACUUCGGGAGAAGGAGUGCCUUAUUCGUAAGGUUGCAAUAACAAGAUCCAAGCAACUGUUUAUCAAAAACACAGGUCUCCGCUAAGUCGUAAGACGAUGUAUGGGGGCUGACGCCUGCCCAGUGCCAGAAGGUUAAAGAAGUUGGUUAGCAAUUGCGAAGCUGAUAACUGAAGCCCUGGUGAACGGCGGCCGUAACUAUAACGGUCCUAAGGUAGCGAAAUUCCUUGUCGGGUAAGUUCCGACCCGCACGAAAGGCGUAAUGAUUUGGAUACUGUCUCGGAGGGGGGCUCGGUGAAAUAGACUUGUCUGUGAAGAUGCGGACUACCUGCACCAGGACAGAAAGACCCUAUGAAGCUUUACUGUAACUUGAAAUUGAAAUUGGACUUUAUUCGCGCAGUAUAGGUGGGAGGCGUUGAUUAUAAUCUUGUGGGAUUAUUGGAGCCAUCAGUGAGAUACCACUCUUGUAAUGUUAGAUUUCUAACUUUGAAUCAUUAUCUGGUCAAAGAACAGUUUCAGGCGGGCAGUUUGACUGGGGCGGUCGCCUCCUAAACGGUAACGGAGGCGUACAAAGGUUUCCUCUGAACGGUUAGAAAUCGUAUCUAGAGUGUAAAGGCAUAAGGAAGCUUGACUGUGAGACCUACAAGUCGAGCAGGGACGAAAGUCGGUCUUAGUGAUCUGACGGUACUGAGUGGAAAGGCCGUCACUCAACGGAUAAAAGUUACUCUAGGAUAACAGGCUGAUCUCCCCCAAGAGUUCACAUCGACGGGGAGGUUUGGCACCUCGAUGUCGGCUCAUCGCAUCCUGGGGCGGUAGUACGUCCCAAGGGUUGGGCUGUUCGCCAAUGAAAGCGGUACGCGAGCUGGGUUCAGAACGUCGUGAGACAGUUCGGUCCAUAUCCGGUGUAGGCGUUAGAAUAUUGAGAGGAGCCUUCUUUAGUACGAGAGGACCGAGAAGGACAUACCUCUGGUGUACCAGUUAUCGUGCCAACGGUAAACGCUGGGUAGCUAUGUAUGGAGUGGAUAACCGCUGAAAGCAUCUAAGUGGGAAGCCCACCUCAAGAUAAGUAUUCUCA
rnacentral:rRNA from 1 species